AUGAGUCAUCUUGCCUGGCCUGGCUUUCUGAGGGGCAGUGGUGUGGUGCACAAAGCUUUGGGCAGAAGCAGAGCCUGGGGACUCUGUGAUGGAAGCCCACUGCCUUCCAGCCCCAGCCCGAGCAGCCUGGAGAGAAGAUGUUUGUCUGCCCAUUCCCAGCCCACCCUGAGUUCCCACCCGGUCCCUGGACGCCAGGACUCUUGACUCACUGCAUUCCAGGCCCUAGCUUCUGCGGUUACUACUGGCAAUGGCACACCAGGAGCCCUGGGACUCUGGCUGUGCACCAAGGUCUAGAUUGCAAAGAUGCCUGAAACCAGAGGGGGAAACCAGAGAAGAAUUCAUCAAAAUGAUUAAAAUUGCAAGAAACGGGGGAAGGGAAAGUGAUACCAUUUGCUAUGGUCUGAAUGUGCCCCAUAUACUGAAAAUGUAAUCCCCAAUGCAAUAACGUGGGGAGGUGGCUCCUAGUGGAGGUGCUUAACUCUGCCCUCAUGAAUGGAUUUAUGCCACCAUAAAAAAAGGCUUGUGGCCGGGUGCACAGGCUCACGCCUGUAAUCCUAGUACUCUGGGAGGCUGAGGCAGGUGGUUUGCUUGAGGCCAGGAGUUUGAGGCCAACAUGGCCAAACUCUGUCUCUAUUAAAAGUACAAAAUUUAGCCAGGCAUGGUGGCAGGUGCCUGUAAUCCCAGCUAAUCAGGAGGCUGAGGCAAGAGAAUCACUUGCACUCGAGGGGUGGAGAUUGCAGAGAGCUGAGAUCAUGCCACUGCACUUCAGCCUGGGCAAUAGAGUGAGACUCUGCUCAAAGAAAAAAGGAGGGGGUUGCUUGUGGGCAUGGGCUUUCUCUCUUCUGCUCUUCCAUCAUAUGAGGACAAAGCGUUCACCCUCUCCUGCCCUUCCACCUUCUGCCAUAUGAGGACUCAGCAAGAAGCCCCACACCAAAUGCCAGUGCCUUGACCUUGGACUUCCCAGCCUCCAGAAUCGUGAAAAAUACAUUUCUGUUGUUUACAUAUUAUCCAGUCUUGGGUAUUCUGUUGUAGCAACACAAAACAGACUAAGACAUCAUUCUAAGGCAUGAGUGAGCAAUUCUGUCUUCUUAGCACAGAAGAAAAACAAAGGAAACUCAAGAGAGGAGGUAAUAACUGAGCAGAGAUUUGGGAGUUGAGUAGGAGAUUAUAAAGGCUAAGAGGAGGAGGACACCCAGGCAGAAGG
rnacentral:lncRNA from 13 species